rnacentral:tRNA from 1 species
GUCUUCGUGGUGUAGUGGUCAGCACGCUCGGCGCGUAUUCGAGAGGUCCGUGGUUCGAGUCCCGGCGAGGGCA